rnacentral:rRNA from 1 species
GACGAACGCUGGCGGCGUGCUUAACACAUGCAAGUCGAGCGGAAAGGCCCUUUCGGGGGUACUCGAGCGGCGAACGGGUGAGUAACACGUGAGUAAUCUGCCCUUGGCUUCGGGAUAGCCACCGGAAACGGUGAUUAAUACCGGAUACGACACAUCACUGCAGGGUGCGUGCGUGGAAAGUUUUUUCGGCCAGGGAUGUGCUCGCGGCCUAUCAGCUUGUUGGUGGGGGAAUGGCCUACCAAGGCUUCGACGGGUAGCCGGCCUGAGAGGGUGACCGGCCACACUGGGACUGAGACACGGCCCAGACUCCUACGGGAGGCAGCAGUGGGGAAUAUUGCACAAUGGGCGCAAGCCUGAUGCAGCAACGCCGCGUGCGGGAUGACGGCCUUCGGGUUGUAAACCGCUUUUAGUAGGGAAGAAGCCUUCGGGAGACGGUACCUGCAGAAAAAGGACCGGCUAACUACGUGCCAGCCGCCGCAGUAAGAC